UUGGAGGGCAAGUCUGGUGCCAGCAGCCGCGGUAAUUCCAGCUCCAAUAGCGUAUAUUAAAGUUGUUGCAGUUAAAAAGCUCGUAGUUGAACUUCAGGCCUGGCUGGACGGUCCGCCUUCUAGGUGAGCACUGUCUGUGGUCGGGCUUUACCUUCUGGCGAAGCGGCAUGGCCUUUACGGGUCGUGACGGGGAACCAGGACUUUUACUGCGAAAAAAUUAGAGUGUUCAAAGCAGGCAUACGCUUGAAUACAUUAGCAUGGAAUAAUGGAAUAGGACAAUGGUUCUAUUUGUUGGUUUCUAGGACUGUUGUAAUGAUUAAUAGGGAUAGUUGGGGGCAUUAGUAUUCAAUUGUCAGAGGUGAAAUUCUUGGAUUUAUUGAAGACUAACUACUGCGAAAGCAUUUGCCAAGGAUGUUUUCGUUAAUCAAGAACGAAAGUUAGGGGAUCGAAGACGAUCAGAUACCGUCGUAGUCUUAACCAUAAACUAUGCCGACUAGGAAUCGGGCGAUGUUGACAAAAUGACUCGCUCGGCACCUCAUGGGAAACCAAAGUGUUUGGGUUC
rnacentral:rRNA from 1 species